CCUGGUGGCUUAGAGGGUAAAGAAUCCGCUUGCAAUGCAGGAGACCCAGGUUCAAUCCCUGGGUCAGGA
rnacentral:tRNA from 1 species